AUUCAGCUGACAAGUCCCAAAUAGGACGAAAUGCAUGUCGCACGGGAU
rnacentral:hammerhead_ribozyme from 1 species